AGGACGAAACGCUGGCGGCGUGCUUAACACAUGCAAGUCGAGCGGAAAGGCCCUUCGGGGUACUCGAGCGGCGAACGGGGUGAGUAACACGUGAGCAAUCUGCCCCUUAGCUUCGGGGAUAGCUCCGGGAAAACCGGAUUAAUACCGAAUAUGACUACGGUUGACAUCAGCCAUGGUGGAAAGUUUUUUCGGCUAGGGAUGAGCUCGCGGCCUAUCAGCUAGUUGGUGGGGUAACGGCCUACCAAGGCGACGACGGGUA
rnacentral:rRNA from 1 species